rnacentral:lncRNA from 1 species
UCUGUAUCUCUCUCUCUCUCUCUCUGUCCCUCGCUCUCUCUCUGUCCCUCGCUCUGUCCCUCUCUCUCUCUGUCCCUCUCUCUCUGUCUCUCUCUCUCUCUCUCUGUCCCUCUCUCUCUCUGUCCCUCUCUCUCUGUCUCUCUCUCUCUCUCUCUCUGUCCCUCGCUCUGUAUCUCUCUCUCUCUCUCUCUCUCUCUCUCUCUCUCUCUCUCUGUCCCUCGCUCUCUCUCUUGUCCCUCGCUCUCUCUCUGUCCCUCUCUCUCUGUCUCUCUCUCUCUCUGUCCCUCGCUCUGUCCCUCUCUCUCUCUGUCCCUCUCUCUCUCUCUCUGUCCCUCGCUCUGUAUCUCUCUCUCUCUCUCUCUCUGUCCCUCGCUCUGUAUCUCUCUCUCUCUCUCUCUCUCUCUCUCUCUGUCCCUCGCUCUGUAUCUCUCUCUCUCUGUCCCUCUCUCUCUCUGUCCCUCUCUCUGUCCCUCUCUCUCUCUGUCCCUCUCUCUGUCCCUCUCUCUCUGUCCCUCUCUGUCCCUCUCUGUCCCUCUCUCUGUCCCUCUCUCUGUCCCUCUCUCUGUCCCUCUCUCUCUCUGUCCCUCUCUCUGUCCCUCUCUCUCUGUCCCUCUCUGUCCCUCUCUGUCCCUCUCUCUGUCCCUCUCUCUGUCCCUCUCUCUCUCUCUCUCUCUCUCUCUCUGUCCCCUCUCUCUGUCCCUCUCUCUCUCUGUCCCUCUCUCUGUCCCUCUCUCUCUGUCCCUCUCUGUCCCUCUCUGUCCCUCUCUCUGUCCCUCUCUCUCUCUCUCUCUCUCUCUCUCUCUCUCUCUCUCUCUCUCUCUCUCUCUCUCUCUCGGUCUGUCUCUGUCCCUUUCUCUGUGUCUCUUUAUCUUUGUCCCUCUCUCGCUGUGUCUCCCUCCCUUCCUCUCUGUUUAUUUCGGACCCGCUUUGCUUCACCUCCUUCCUCUCAGCUCAGCUGCUCUGGGAUUGUCCUGAUCAUUCGACAUUAAAAUAUCUUCUCCUCACUAUUGCACUGUGUUCCCCUCAUCUCGACCAUGUAAUAUUAAAGUCAGGGG